rnacentral:rRNA from 1 species
UACGGGGGGGGUAAGCGUUGUUCGGAAUUAUUGGGCGUAAAGAGCUCGUAGGCGGUCUGUCGCGUCUGCCGUGAAAACCCGAGGCUUAACCUCGUGGCUUGCGGUGGAUACGGGCAGACUAGAGGUAGGUAGGGGAGAAUGGAAUUCCCGGUGUAGCGGUGAAAUGCGCAGAUAUCGGGAGGAACACCGGUGGCGAAGGCGGUUCUCUGGGCCUUACCUGACGCUGAGGAGCGAAAGCGUGGGGAGCGAACAGG